GGAUAGCUCAAUCGUUAGAGGACGAGACUCUUAAUCUUAGGGUUGUGGUUUCGAGUCCCACGUUGGGCG